rnacentral:piRNA from 1 species
UGCUAUUGGAAGAGGUUGUCCUCUUGAAAGA